UACUGACGCUCAUGGACGAAAGCCAGGGGAGCGAAAGGGAUUAGAUACCCCUGUAGUCCUGGCCGUAAACGAUGAACACUAGGUGUCGGGGGAAUCGACCCCUUCGGUGUCGUAGCUAACGCGUUAAGUGUUCCGCCUGGGGAGUACGCACGCAAGUGUGAAACUCAAAGGAAUUGACGGGGGCCCGCACAAGCGGUGGAGUAUGUGGUUUAAUUCGAUGCAACGCGAAGAACCUUACCAGGGUUUGACAUCCUGCGAACCUCUUAGAAAUUUGAGGGUGCCUUCGGGAAUGCAGUGACAGGUGGUGCAUGGCUGUCGUCAGCUCGUGUCGUGAGAUGUUGGGUUAAGUCCCGCAACGAGCGCAACCCACGUUUUUAGUUGCCAGCAUUUAGUUGGGCACUCUAGAAAGACCGCCGGUGAUAAACCGGAGGAAGGUGUGGAUGACGUCAAGUCAUCAUGCCCCUUACACCCUGGGCUACACACGUACUACAAUGCUACGGACAAAGGGCAGCAAACUCGCGAGAGCUAGCAAAUCCCAUAAACCGUGGCUCAGUUCAGAUCGUAGGCUGCAACUCGCCUACGUGAAGUAGGAAUCGCUAGUAAUCGCAGGUCAGCAUACUGCGGUGAAUACGUUCCCGGGCCUUGUACACACCGCCCGUCACACCAUGGAAGUUGGCCAUGCCCGAAGUCGUUACUCCAACCCUUGUGGAGGAGGACGCCGAAGGUGGGGCUAAUGACUGGGGUGAAGUCGUAACAAGGU
rnacentral:rRNA from 1 species